CACAGGUUUGGUCCCAGCCUUCCUAUUA
rnacentral:rRNA from 1 species